AAAAGUAAGCAAUAAAUAUGCACUUAUAUCUAAGAGAGAGAAGAUGAAAAACGUUCUUGUAUUUAUUUUCUCUUCUAGAAAGGAGCUGGCAAAACAUCAAAAGUAAAUAGGGCCCUACAAUAUUAAAUGUUAACUUAAAUAUUCACUUGAAUCUAAGAAAGAGAAGAUGAAGAAGCGUUUGGGUUUCUUUUGACUUCUUCAAAAGGGCUGAAAAAAAUAAAGGUGAACAAGAUUCUUUUCUCUUCUUCAAAGGACAAAAAAAAUAUGAAGAAUUAUCUACAUUCAAAUUUUCUAAGGAGAAAAAAAAUCAGAAGUACCUAUAUACGUUUUUCAGAAACCUCUUGUAGAAGAUCUACUAGAGAGAAGCGAAGCUCAACACGUUAUUCUCAUGAUGAGUAUAUUCUAUUGACUAAUAUGAGAGAACCUGAAGGUUAUGAUUAAAUCAUGUUAGAUACUCAUAGAGAUAAGUGGAAAGAACUCAUCGUAGACAAUCAUGAGUUUUGUAGAAGUGUGGCAGACAGGAAGCCUGUCAAGAGAUCCUCCACUUGAAGUCUUUUUGGCCCCUUGGCUAGAGGGGGAGUUUGUUGGGCUAUUGCCCAUGUUCCUGUUAAAGGCCCAUGGCCUAUUCCUACUUGGAAAAGGAUUGGAAUUAUUCUCUUUAUUUGGUUUCCAAUUCUAUUAGGAAGGAUUGAAAUAGUAAUCCUAUUUGUACUUGGUUUUGGCUUUGUAAGGAAAAGCACAACUCUAUAAAUAGAGGAUGGUUUUGAGAGAAUAAUUAAUUGCUCAUUGGUAUUGUCUUUGAAAGACAUUAGAACAUAAGAGAGGUUUUUGAGAGAGCUUUCAACAAGAGAAAAAGAGAGAAAGAAAAGGGUCCUUUUGCUGCAGUAUUUUUCUCCGACCAGCAAUGUUCAGAUCGUAUUUACUGAUUAACGAACCGUUGGAUCGGGCUUAAAUUUGAACUGAGUGUUUUUGACAUCUUGGCGGUUAAUUUGAACGAUGGAGAUCAGAUUUGGAGGUCAGAAAGAUCAUGUUUUAGGUCCCAAACAGAAGCUGAGUUUGUGUGGUGUUUCUUUCUAUUUAUCUUUUUUUUGGUGUAGCUAUUGUUUAUUCUCUUUUGGCACUUGUUGUGUAUCUAUUAUAAGAAUAUUUGUAACUCUGUUAUUGUUAUAGUGAAGCAAUUCGGAUCUUGUUGAUCCCGUGCUGGUUACCUUCGGAUUGAAGGGUUUUUCCAUGUUAAA